UGGGUCGAUGAAGAACGCAGCUAGCUACGAUAAUCAGUGAGAAUCGCAAGAUACGCCGAGCACUUGAAUUUCCAACGCACAUUGCGGCUUUUGGUUUUCUCCAAAGUCACAUCUGUGUGAGAGGUGAGAAGUAAAAAUUAUAAUCUACACAAGUAGAUUUUCGCAGGGAAGUCUUGUUGUAGAGAGUUAUCGCAUCUUUCCCAUUGGUAAAUGUAUGUGAUCUCGGAUAUUUUUUUCCUUUUCUUGGAGAUUGCUGUAAAAAGCUUGAUCAUAGUAAGGAGUCGCAUCUCAAAGAUGAUGCUUGUAAAGUUGUACAUCUGACCAAUGUAUACACUUACUCAAUAGAGCAACAGUUGAUCUGUUGUUAAACAUAUCACUGGCAGGGGAUCCUGAGAUGUACCCGUCAAUCUGCCGACGUUUAAGUCGACCAGCGGAUUAAUAUGACCAUAUAAGAAAAGGGUCUCUCGCCUAGCGUGGAUCUCGUUUGCAUCCUAAGGUGAUAUGUAAUCUAUUGAUGUAAAUAAUUACUUGCAUCAUACGUCGAUCAUUGAAUGCGAAAUGUACAGUGACUCCUUGUAUACGUACAUGAGUACACUACUUUUCCUAACCUCAU
rnacentral:rRNA from 1 species